GGUGAGGUGGCCGAGUUGGUUAUGGCGCCAGGUUAAGGUUAUCCUUAGCAUUAAUUUCCUGGUCACGAAAGUGGCGCGGGUUCGAGUCCCGUCCUCAUCA
rnacentral:tRNA from 1 species